AUUGAACGCUGGCGGCAUGCCUUACACAUGCAAGUCGAACGGCAGCACGGGUGCUUGCACCUGGUGGCGAGUGGCGAACGGGUGAGUAAUACAUCGGAACAUGUCCUGUAGUGGGGGAUAGCCCGGCGAAAGCCGGAUUAAUACCGCAUACGAUCUACGGAUGAAAGCGGGGGACCUUCGGGCCUCGCGCUAUAGGGUUGGCCGAUGGCUGAUUAGCUAGUUGGUGGGGUAAAGGCCUACCAAGGCGACGAUCAGUAGCUGGUCUGAGAGGACGACCAGCCACACUGGGACUGAGACACGGCCCAGACUCCUACGGGAGGCAGCAGGGGGGAAUUUUGGACAAUGGGCGAAAGCCUGAUCCAGCAAUGCCGCGUGUGUGAAGAAGGCCUUCGGGUUGUAAAGCACUUUUGUCCGGAAAGAAAUCCUUGGCCCUAAUACGGUCGGGGGAUGACGGUACCGGAAGAAUAAGCACCGGCUAACUACGU
rnacentral:rRNA from 1 species